rnacentral:lncRNA from 1 species
AGAGAAUACAGAAUUCGAAUCAGAUGUAGAGUGAUUUCUCUCAUUUCAAAAUCUCUGAUUUGUAAAAAUAAAAAAAUAAAACAGAGAAAGGAAUUUGAGGGGAGAGUGACAUCUAAGGUGGAGAAAAAAAUAAAAAAUAAAUAUUGUGCCAUCUUAUGAAGAGAUUUCUAUCUAGAGUCAAUAACAGCACUUUAAGCAAGAUUUCUAUCUCCUACAGCGUUAAAUAUUGAAAUAACAAAAAUAAAGAAGAGAUAAGAUGAAAUGGAAAGGAAAGGUUUUAUUAUACUCAGGUGUUGUAGGAAUUUGAGAAGGGGAAAGACAAUAAUUAAUAAACAAAAAAACUGUCCUCCUGGGAAAAGUGAACAAAAGAGUAAAAUAGAAGAAAAAAAAAUCAAAAAGAGAACACACAGUAAUCAGUUGAUUUGUGUCUUUAUUGAGAAACAAAAAGUAUUGGUGUUCUUAUAAUUUGUUUUAAAACAAGUUCAACUCACGUAUGAUGGUUGAUUUACCUUGAUGUUGAGGAAAAAUGAUCAUAAGGCUAGAUGAAAUAAAACAUUUCAGUACUAUAGGGUAAUUCCAGCCCAAGUGAUCAAAGUGUCCAUACUCAUUAGUUUCAAUUUUGCUG